rnacentral:rRNA from 1 species
CGUGAAACCGUCCAGGGGUAAACCUGCGAAACUCGAAUGAACGAACGGAGAGAUUCAUCGUCAUUCGUCGGCGCACGGGCGUUGGUGCGAUGUACGCGAUCUCGAUCGUCGAACACGCGCCGCGCACGUAGCGCUCCGGCGACGGCGUGCACUUCUCUCUUAGUAAUACAUCGCGACCCGUCGCGUGUCGGUCUAAGUGCCCUCCGGGAGUCUUCGCUUCGCUCGCGCGUUGAGUAGACCGCGAGGUGUCGCCGACCGGCCGCGCGACGGUAGACCCAAAGAAACGCGCACGCGCCACGCGCGCGUCCGGCCCGACGCAAGGCAACGUCGUUUACCCUCCGUCUGCCCGAGUGCGGCGUUGUUGGGGUGCGGCGCGCCUGUCGUCGCAGCCGUGCUGUCUCGGACUGUGCGCGUAUCCGUCUGCGA